rnacentral:rRNA from 1 species
AAUCCAUAGGUUAAUGAGGCGAACCGGGGGAACUGAAACAUCUAAGUACCCCGAGGAAAAGAAAUCAACCGAGAUUCCCCCAGUAGCGGCGAGCGAACGGGGAGGAGCCCAGAGCCUGAAUCAGCAUGUGUGUUAGUGGAAGCGUCUGGAAAGGCGCGCGAUACAGGGUGACAGCCCCGUACACAAAAGCGCAUGUGCUGUGAGCUCGAUGAGUAGGGCGGGACACGUGGUAUCCUGUCUGAAUAUGGGGGGACCAUCCUCCAAGGCUAAAUACUCCUGACUGACCGAUAGUGAACCAGUACCGUGAGGGAAAGGCGAAAAGAACCCCGGCGAGGGGAGUGAAAAAGAACCUGAAACCGUGUACGUACAAGCAGUGGGAGCCCCACCACCAAAGCAUUCUCUGGUGUUGAAGGCCCUGCAAAGCAGCAUCGCGGUGGCGGAGCGUCGUUUGCGACGCCCAACGCACAAAACAAGCGGUGAGUGCUUUGGGGUGGGGUGACUGCGUACCUUUUGUAUAAUGGGUCAGCGACUUAUAUUCUGUAGCAAGGUUAACCGCAUAGGGGAGCCGUAGGGAAACCGAGUCUUAAC